rnacentral:rRNA from 1 species
AUCGUAACUCCUACGGGAGGCAGCAGUAGGGAAUCUUCCGCAAUGGGCGAAAGCCUGACGGAGCAACGCCGCGUGGGUGAAGAAGGUCUUCGGAUCGUAAAACUCUGUUAUUAGGGAAGAACAAAUGUGUAAGUAACUAUGCACGUCUUGACGGUACCUAAUCAGAAAGCCACGGCUAACUACGUGCCAGCAGCCGCGGUAAUACGUAGGUGGCAAGCGUUAUCCGGAAUUAUUGGGCGUAAAGCGCGCGUAGGCGGUUUUUUAAGUCUGAUGUGAAAGCCCACGGCUCAACCGUGGAGGGUCAUUGGAAACUGGAAAACUUGAGUGCAGAAGAGGAGAGUGGAAUUCCAUGUGUAGCGGUGAAAUGCGUAGAUAUAUGGAGGAACACCAGUGGCGAAGGCGACUCUCUGGUCUGUAACUGACGCUGAGGCUCGAAAGCGUGGGUAGCAAACAGGAUUAGAAACCCUGGUAGUCCUAGAGC